rnacentral:rRNA from 1 species
AAAAGCUCCGGCAGUAUAGGAUGGUCCCGCGUCUGAUUAGCUGGUUGGUGAGGUAACGGCCCACCAAGGCGACGAUCAGUAGCCGGCUUGAGAGAGUGAACGGCCACAUUGGGACUGAGACACGGCCCAAACUCCUACGGGAGGCAGCAGUGGGGAAUAUUGCACAAUGGGGGAAACCCUGAUGCAGCGGCGCCGCGUGAGUGAAGAAGUAUUUCGGUAUGUAAAGCUCUAUCAGCAGGGAAGAAAAAGACGGUACCUGACUAAGAAGCCCCGGCUAACUACGUGCCAGCAGCCGCGGUAAUACGUAGGGGGCAAGCGUUAUCCGGAAUUACUGGGUGUAAAGGGUGCGUAGGUGGCAUGGUAAGUCAGAAGUGAAAGCCCGGGGCUUAACCCCGGGACUGCUUUUGAAACUGUCAUGCUGGAGUGCAGGAGAGGUAAGCGGAAUUCCUAGUGUAGCGGUGAAAUGCGUAGAUAUUAGGAGGAACACCAGUGGCGAAGGCGGCUUACUGGACUGUCACUGACACUGAUGCACGAAAGCGUGGGGAGCAAACAGGAUUAGAUACCCUGGUAGUCCACGCCGUAAACGA